UACUUUGAAAUAAUAAGUUCAAAAAUUCCGUAACCCGGCCUCACGUUUAAUUAUCAUACGAAACAGUUCAAAAUAAUCUACGCGGCCCAAACGCCGCAAGGAGAGUACGCAUGCAACGGUACGAAGAUAAAAAAGUGGUAAUCAUCGGCGGCACGAGCGGCAUGGGGCUCGCGACAGCGAAGAUGCUCGUGGAUAGGGGCGCGCGCGUUCUGGUGACGGGGCGCUCGCCAGC
rnacentral:misc_RNA from 1 species